rnacentral:tRNA from 1 species
GCAUCCAUGGCUGAAUGGUUAAAGCGCCCAACUCAUAAUUGGUAAAUUUGCGGGUUCAAUCCCUUCUGGAUGCA